rnacentral:lncRNA from 1 species
AUCCCUCGCCUUCCCCCUUGUGGCCAAUUCUGGAGAUGCAGCAGCGUAUUCCAGCCCCUCUCAGGCUCCUCCCUGCCAGUCCAUAGGACCACAGGUGCUACCCAAGACUCUGCCCCAGCCCUUGAUUUCUACCUCCUCCCCACCCUCCUGCUGACUUGGGUAAAGGGUGUCCUUGUCUCUCCCUUCCUAGACCCAGUGAACAUCCUGACUGCAGGCCCUCCCCCAGCUCUCCUUGGCUCUGCUUCAUUUGGUCCCUCCUGCCUUCCACAACCACCCAACCUCACCCUCCU